UACGAAGGGGGCUAGCGUUGCUCGGAAUUACUGGGCGUAAAGCGCACGUAGGCGGCUUUCUAAGUCGGGGGUGAAAUCCUGGAGCUCAACUCCAGAACUGCCUUCGAUACUGGAGAGCUCGAGUCCGGGAGAGGUGAGUGGAACUGCGAGUGUAGAGGUGAAAUUCGUAGAUAUUGCAAGAACACCAGUGGCGAAGGCGGCUCACUGGCCCGGUACUGACGCUGAGGUGCGAAAGCGUGGGGAGCAA
rnacentral:rRNA from 1 species